UACGGGGGGGGCGAGCGUUGUUCGGAAUUACUGGGCGUAAAGGGUUUGUAGGCGGUCUUCUAAGUCAGACGUGAAAUCCCUCAGCUUAACUGGGGAACUGCGUCUGAUACUGGCGGACUUGAGGACAGGAGAGGAACGCGGAAUUCCAGGUGUAGCGGUGAAAUGCGUAGAUAUCUGGAGGAACACCGGUGGCGAAGGCGGCGUUCUGGAAAGUUUCUGACACUGAAAAACGAAAGCCAGGGGAGCAAACGGG
rnacentral:rRNA from 1 species